rnacentral:tRNA from 1 species
UUAUCUCGAGCAUAAUAGAUGAAGACGGAGAAACAAUAGCCGAUCAUAAAGAAGAAGGAAAGCGGGUAUUCAGCA